UCAGAGUCGUCACUUGACAUAAUCUGGUGUAUCAAGUCACCUUUGAAAGGUCAUUUUCAAACUGAUAAGGAAUUCUGUUGACUGAAGGGAAGGUGUUAGACAUUCCUCGGUCCCGUGGUUGACCACGAUCGCUUGGUGGAGCAUAGCAACUAAUUUGACACUGCGAACGUAUAAAUCACACAAAAAACACGUAAAAAUAAUCAAACAAACAAACAAAACGAAUUAAAAAUAUAAUGUCCGGUCCAAUUAUACAGUCCCGAAUAAUGAAAAAUGCAAAAAUGUAAACCUAUUAUAUUUCAAACUGUCCCUAAACUACUUUUGAAUUAAACUCUAUCCGACGUUUCGUGCCUUAAUCAUGCGUUAUCUUUAAGUCCAUGAUACUUUGGAGCAUUCCCCAACAAAUGAACACAAAUACCUCUGAGCAUUCCCAGCCAAAUGAAUACCUCAUAGAUAACUAGAAAAACGUUCAAAAUAUACAUUCAAACAAUCAAUGCAUUCAACCAACACAUCACUCCUAAAUAUUUGCCUAAACCCGGUAGAAUCUGCAUCCGCUUUCAAAAUUGAUAUAUUAUUAUUCCGAUUAAACCCGGUAGAAUUCACAUCGGAAACACCUCGAUUUGAACCUCGACAACGACCAACACCAACUCGGAAUAGCCCUCUUCUAUUUUAUUUUCAUCGGCUCGAAUUGUAAAAGAAACGCACAACGAAGAUAAGUUCGUACCAAAUUCGCAGACUCGUUACUGCUUCGAUCGUUUUCUGGCAGGGUUUACCUCAAACAUCAAGAAAAACGAAGAGAUUUAGGGGGUUUCGCGACUGGAUCUGUUAAGUCGACCACCUGGACAACAAUUCCGGCGAAAUUUUCACCACCGACCCUGUUCCUGACCGUUUUCAAACUAUUCUUGCCCGUUUCUCUCCUUCAACUAUUCGAAUCGACUUUGUUCGCGUGAAUCUCGUUCAUCAGCGUACUCCCCUUUCCCGUUGGUGGUCAUUUAUGCGUGUCUCUGUUGGGAAUCGAAAAAGGAAAAAGAAAAGAUGAAGUUAUGGUGGCCUCUUCUUUGUUACUGUGUGUGCCUGUAUCAAUGGAGAUGUUUGGUAUGAUAGGAAAAUGUUUUUCAAUUUUUUUUUGUUUGGUUGUAAUAAAAUAUUGAAAAAAUAUUUUUUAUAAUAAUUUAUUUAUCUUAAUUUGAGUGAAAAUGACUUCUUGAAGUCAUUUUUCAGAAAAUAACAAAUGUGGCCACCUCAUCCUUCUCCAAUAACACUUAUUNNNN
rnacentral:lncRNA from 1 species